rnacentral:rRNA from 1 species
AUUGAACGCUGGCGGCAGGCUUAACACAUGCAAGUCGAGCGGGGGAAGGUAGCUUGCUACUGGACCUAGCGGCGGACGGGUGAGUAGUGCUUAGGAAUCUGCCUAUUAGUGGGGGACAACAUCUCGAAAGGGAUGCUAAUACCGCAUACGUCCUACGGGAGAAAGCAGGGGAUCUUCGGACCUUGCGCUAAUAGAUGAGCCUAAGUCGGAUUAGCUAGUUGGUGGGGUAAAGGCCUACCAAGGCGACGAUCUGUAGCGGGUCUGAGAGGAUGAUCCGCCACACUGGGACUGAGACACGGCCCAGACUCCUACAGGAGGCAGCAGUGGGGAAUAUUGGACAAUGGGGGGAACCCUGAUCCAGCCAUGCCGCGCGUGUGAAGAAGGCCUUAUGGUUGUAAAGCACUUUAAGCGAGGAGGAGGCUACUCUAGUUAAUACCUAGGGAUAGUGGACGUUACUCGCAGAAUAAGCACCGGCUAACUCUGUGCCAGCAGCCGCGGUAA